AAGCCUGGGAAACUGGGUCUAAUACCGGAUAGGACCACGGGAUGCAUGUCUUGUGGUGGAAAGCGCUUUAGCGGUGUGGGAUGAGCCCGCGGCCUAUCAGCUUGUUGGUGGGGUGACGGCCUACCAAGGCGACGACGGGUAGCCGGCCUGAGAGGGUGUCCGGCCACACUGGGACUGAGAUACGGCCCAGACUCCUACGGGAGGCAGCAGUGGGGAAUAUUGCACAAUGGGCGCAAGCCUGAUGCAGCGACGCCGCGUGGGGGAUGACGGCCUUCGGGUUGUAAACCUCUUUCACCAUCGACGAAGGUCCGGGUUCUCUCGGAUUGACGGUAGGUGGAGAAGAAGCACCGGCCAACUACGUGCCAGCAGCCGCGGUAAUACGUAGGGUGCGAGCGUUGUCCGGAAUUACUGGGCGUAAAGAGCUCGUAGGUGGUUUGUCGCGUUGUUCGUGAAAUCUCACGGCUUAACUGUGAGCGUGCGGGCGAUACGGGCAGACUAGAGUACUGCAGGGGAGACUGGAAUUCCUGGUGUAGCGGUGGAAUGCGCAGAUAUCAGGAGGAMCACCGGUGGCGAAGGCGGGUCUCUGGGCAGUAACUGACGCUGAGGAGCGAAAGCGUGGGGAGCGAACAGGAUUAGAUACCCUGGUAGUCCACGCCGUAA
rnacentral:rRNA from 1 species